rnacentral:rRNA from 1 species
CGGACGAACGCUGGCGGGCGUGCCUAACACAUGCAAGUCGAACGGUCCGGCACUCAACCGACCCUCAGUCUAACGUGUAGGGGAAGUUGAGUGCCGGGUAGUGGCGGACGGGUGAGUAACGCGUGGGCAACCAACCCUGUACAGUGGGAUAACACCGGGAAACCGGUGCUAAUACCGCAUGACACCUAUAUGGUGCAUACCGUAUAGGUUAAAGGAUUUAACCGGUACAGGACGGGCCCGCGUCCCAUUAGCUAGUUGGUGAGGUAACGGCCCACCAAGGCGACGAUGGGUAGCCGACCUGAGAGGGUGACCGGCCACACUGGGACUGAGACACGGCCCAGACUCCUACGGGAGGCAGCAGUGGGGAAUAUUGCGCAAUGGGGGGAACCCUGACGCAGCGACGCCGCGUGAGCGACGAAGGCCUUCGGGUCGUAAAGCUCUGUUCUUGGGGACGAAGGAAAUGACGGUACCCAAGGAGAAAGCCCCGGCUAACUACGUG